ensembl:lncRNA
AUGUCUGGCCUUUCUCAUGAUGCAUCCCACCAAAAUACACAAUCGCUUGCAUAUGCCAUUCCAGCUUUCCAUGCCUGUGCUCCUGCUUCUCCCUGUGCCUGGAAUAUCAUCUCUCUUCACACCUCUUCCUGCCAAAUAAACUCUGGCUCAUUCUCCAAAACAACACGUAGCAGUUUGAAAGUAUCUUACAAAAUGCAAAACAUGCAUUCCCUUAGACCCAGGAGCAGCUCCACUUCUAUAAAUGUAUCCUUUGCAUUUUCUCCUGGCACAGAGCAAAUGUUACCACCCCUGGGAAGUCCUCUCUGCUCUCUGAAGCACACAGAACAUCGCUUUUGGGGUGUCAUUUAUCACAGUGUGGAAUAUCCUGCAAGAACCUCUGUCCGGUCUGCUCGAAUACAGUGUGAGAUUUCAAGAGUGGAGAAUCCAUAUCCUACACACCUUUUAUCUGCUCUCAUGUCACCCAGCACAGGCCACACUGCAGGAUUUCAACUACAUUGAUGAGUCAUAAAAGUAACUUAGAGCACGUGCGCUACUGACAACCAGCCUGAAGCAUCAUCUGUGAAUAAAAGAUCACACACAGAGAAAGAUGAAUCCAAAAAUGAAAAUGCUGGCUAGCGAAUUUAACAGAGAUCUGUGCCUGGCCCUCGACUGGUUCAGAUAAAAACCUAUGAGGAUAUAGAACAACAUCACUCUUAUAUGUAAUUUGAAUUUAUUGUCUUUAAAGUACACAUGUGACUCAGUAAGAAUCUUAAUUUUCAAAGACUAUGGAAACCUAUAGAGAGUGAAUUAUGUACAACCUCUGAUUCUAUAACUUCCAUUUUCUGUUUUAUGAUGGCCUUAUAGGAGAUAAUAAUUGCUAUCAUUAGAAAAAGUAUAUUUUUUAAAAGAAAAUGUUGAUAAAUUCCUUUAUAAAACUAGAAAACACAUUUUUAAAAUAUUUAGGUCAUCUUUGAUUUUUCUUUAUCAGCAUUUUAUAAUUUUCAGUAUACAGACAUGGCCAUGUUUUGUUAGAAUUAUAAGUAAGUAUUUCAUUUUCUCUGAAAUAAUUAUAAAUGGUAUUUUAUAAGAACUUUCAGUUUUACAUAGUCAUAUGGUAUAUGGAAAUACAAGUUAUUAAAAUAACAACAGCCAGAUUAUGUUACUGCAUGUUUUGUAUUAAUAUUAUAGGUUAAGAUUAAGACAAUAAUUUUUAUUUUAUAAGGGAUUUUGUGGCUGGGUGCGGUGGCUCAUGUCUGUAAUCCCAGCACUUUGGGAGGCUGAGGCAGGCAGAUCACCUGAGAUUGGGAGUUCGAGACCAGCCUGACCAACAUGGAGAAACCCUAUCUCUACUAAACAUAAAAAUUAGCCAGGCAUGGUGGUGGGCACCUGUAAUCCCAGCUACUGAGAAGGCUGAGGCAGGAGAAUCACUUGAACCUGGGAGGCAGAGGUUGCGGUGAGCCGAGAUUGUGCCAUUGCACUCCAGCCUGGGCAACAAGAGAGAAACUCCAUCUCAAAAGAAAAGAGAGAGAGAGACUUUGUUAGCCAUGCAUGAUGGCUCACACAUGCAAUCCCAACACUAGUGGGGAGGCCAAAGGUGAAAUGAUUGCUUGAGGCCAGGAGUUUGAGACCAGCCAGGGUAACAUAGUGGGACUCUGUCUCUGUAAAAGGUAAAAUAAAAUAAUAAUUUUUAAAUAACAUUUGUUAGUGCACAAGAUGGCCCAAAUUUUACUCAUGUAGUAAUAUCAAUUUCCUGCAAUAUUCACAACUAGCAUUUUGGAAGAAGCCAGUCACAAAAAUCUACAUAUAGAGAGGAGAUAGCUAAGGGUACAAAAUUUCUUUCUGGGUUGAUGAAGAUGUUCUACAGUUGACUGUGGUGAAGGCUGCACAUAUCUGUGGAUGUAUGAAAAGCCACUGAAUUGUACACUUUAAAUAAGUGAACCAUGUGGUAUGUGAAUUGUAUCUUAAUAAAGCUAUUUUUUAAAGUUUGCUCUGUAAAAGACCUUGUAAAGAGGACUGGAAGACAACCCACAGACUGGGAGAAAAUAUUUGCAAACCACAUAACCAACAAAGGACUUGUAUCUAGAGUACAUAAGAGCUCUUGAAAGUCAACAGCUUUUUAAAAAACCAGUUUAAAAAGACAUUAAGAGACAUACUUCACCAAAGAGAAUAUUCAGAUGGCAAAUAAGCACAGGAAAAUUGUUCAUCAUCAUUAGGCACUAGGCAAAUACAAAUUAAAACUACAAUGAGAUGUCACUACACAUCUAUCAGAAUUCAUUUUUAACAGUGAUAAUACUAAGUGAUAGCAAGAAUGCAGAGAAGCAGGAUCACUGCUACAUUGCUGGUAGGAAGGUAAAAUGGUACCACUGCUCUGAAAAACAUUUUGGUAGCUGCUUACAUAACCAAACAAGUGCCUACAUAUGACUCAGCAGUUUUACUCUUGGACCUUUAUUCCAGAGAGAUGAAAGCUAAUGUUCACACAAAAAUUUGUACACAUCUUCAAAAAGCUAAACAUGAAAUUAUCAUAUGACCUAGAAAUUCCACUUUGAGGUAUAUACCCAAAAGAAUUGAAAACAGGAAUUCAAACAGAUACUUGUACAACAGUGUUCAUCAGAACAUUAUUCAUAAUAGCCAAAAGGCAAAAACCUACAUUUCCGUCAACACAUGAAUGGCUAAACAAAAUGCGGAAUAUACAUAAAUGGAAUUUUAGUCAUAAAAAGGAAUAAAGUCCUGAUAGAUGCUACCACAUGGGUGAAUCUUGAAAAUAUGCCAAGUAAAAUAAGCCAGACACAAAAGAACAAAUAUUGCAUGAUUUCACUUAUAUGAAAUAUCUAGAAUAGGCAAAUUCAAAAAGACAGCAAGAUUAGAAGCUACCAGGGGCAGUGGGGAGGGAAAAAAUAGAGAUUUAUUGCUUAAUAAUUACAGAGUUUGUACUGGGGUAAUGAAAAAGUUCUGAAAUAGAUAGUGGUAUUGUUUGCACAGAUUGUAAAUACAAUUACUGCCAUUAAAUUGUACACUUAAAAAUGGUUUAAAUGGCAAUUUUAAUGUUGUAUAUAUUUUAUCAUAAUACAAAAAUGUAAAACAAACAAACAAAACUAAACAUCUCCUUACCAUACAACCCAUCAAUUUAACACUUGAGUAUUAUCCCAGAGAAAUGAAAACUUAUAUUCACACAAAAACCUGUAUAUGACCAUUUAUUGCAGUUCUACUCAUAAUAGCCCCAAACUGGAAAGAACUAAAAUGUCUUUCAAAGGGUGAGUUGUUUAAACAGAAAGUAGUACAAACACACCAUGGAAUACUACUCAGCAAUAAAGAACUAUUGAUACACACAACAUCCUGGAACACCCUCUAGAGAAUUAUGCUGAGUGAGAAAAGCCAGUUCCAGAAGGUUACAUUCUGUAUGAUCCCAUUUAUAUAAAAUUCUUGAACAGCAAAAUUAUAGAGAUGGAAAAAAGAUACAUGGUUGCCAAGGGUUAUGGGGGAAGGAAGGAAGCGGCUGUGGCUAUAAAAGGUAGUACAGGCCGGGUGGGGUGGCUCACGCCUAUAAUCCCAGCACUUUGAGAGGCCGAGGCAGGCAGAUCACCUGAGGUCAGAAGUUCAAGACCAGCCUGGCCAACGUGAUGAAACCCUGUCUCUAUGAAAAAUACAAAAAUUAUCCCGGCAUGGUG